UACGUAGGGUGCGAGCGUUAAUCGGAAUUACUGGGCGUAAAGCGUGCGCAGGCGGUUUUGUAAGCCAGAUGUGAAAUCCCCGGGCUCAACCUGGGAAUGGCAUUUGGGACUGCAAGGCUGGAGUGCGGCAGAGGAGACUGGAAUUCCUGGUGUAGCAGUGAAAUGCGUAGAUAUCAGGAGGAAUACCGAUGGCGAAGGCAGGUCUCUGGGUCAAGAUUGACGCUCAUGCACGAAAGCGUGGGGAGCAAACAGG
rnacentral:rRNA from 1 species